AGUACCCGGAGGAAAAGAAAUCAACCGAGAUUCCCUGAGUAGCGGCGAGCGAAAGGGGACUAGCCCUUAAGCAACUUGUGUUUUAAGAGAACAGUCUGGGAAGGCUGGCCAUAGUGGGUGAUAGCCCCGUAUCUGAAAAGGCACUUGUUGUGAAAUCGAGUAGGUCGGGACACGAGAAAUCUUGACUGAAUAUGGGGGGACCAUCCUCCAAGGCUAAAUACUCCUGAUUGACCGAUAGUGAACCAGUACCGUGAGGGAAAGGCGAAAAGAACCCCGGAGAGGGGAGUGAAAUAGAACCUAAAACCGUGUGCAUACAAGCAGUGGGAGCCGUAAGGUGACUGCGUACCUUUUGUAUAAUGGGUCAGCGACUUACUUUCAGUAGCAAGGUUAACCGUAUAGGGGAGCCGUAGAGAAAUCGAGUCUUAACUGGGCGAUCAGUUGCUGGAAGUAGACCCGAAACCGAGCGAUCUAUCCAUGGCCAGGGUGAAGGUUAGGUAACACUGACUGGAGGCCCGAACCCACAUCUGUUGAAAAAGAUGGGGAUGAGCUGUGGAUCGGAGUGAAAGGCUAAUCAAGCUCGGAGAUAGCUGGUUCUCCUCGAAAGCUAUUUAGGUAGCGCCUCGGACGAAUACCACAGGGGGUAGAGCACUGUUUCGGCUAGGGGGUCAUCCCGACUUACCAACCCGAUGCAAACUCCGAAUACCAGUGAGUUUUAUCACGGGAGACAGACGGCGGGUGCUAACGUCCGUCGUCAAGAGGGCAACAACCCAGACCACCAGCUAAGGUCCCUAAUAUCAGUUAAGUGGGAAACGAUGUGGGAAGGCUUAGACAGCUAGGAGGUUGGCUUAGAAGCAGCCAUCCUUUAAAGAUAGCGUAACAGCUCACUGGUCUAAAUAAGUUGUCUUGCGGCGAAGAUGUAACGGGGCUCAAGCCAUGAGCCGAAGCUGAGGAUGCACAUAGUGCAUGGUAGCGGAGCGUAGUGU
rnacentral:rRNA from 1 species